rnacentral:rRNA from 1 species
UUAAGUUAUUAAGGGCGCACGGUGGAUGCCUUGGCACUAGAAGCCGAUGAAGGACGUUACUAACGACGAUAUGCUUUGGGGAGCUGUAAGUAAGCUUUGAUCCAGAGAUUUCCGAAUGGGGAAACCCAGCAUGAGUUAUGUCAUGUUAUCGAUAUGUGAAUACAUAGCAUAUCAGAAGGCACACCCGGAGAACUGAAACAUCUUAGUACCCGGAGGAAGAGAAAGAAAAUUCGAUUCCCUUAGUAGCGGCGAGCGAAACGGGAAGAGCCCAAACCAACAAGCUUGCUUGUUGGGGUUGUAGGACACUCUAUACGGAGUUACAAAGGACGACAUUAGACGAAUCAUCUGGAAAGAUGAAUCAAAGAAGGUAAUAAUCCUGUAGUCGAAAAUGUUGUCUCUCUUGAGUGGAUCCUGAGUACGACGGAGCACGUGAAAUUCCGUCGGAAUCUGGGAGGACCAUCUCCUAAGGCUAAAUACUCUCUAGUGACCGAUAGUGAACCAGUACCGUGAGGGAAAGGUGAAAAGCACCCCGGAAGGGGAGUGAAAUAGAACCUGAAACCGUGUGCUUACAAGUAGUCAGAGCCCGUUAAUGGGUGAUGGCGUGCCUUUUGUAGAAUGAACCGGCGAGUUACGAUUUGAUGCAAGGUUAAGCAGUAAAUGUGGAGCCGUAGCGAAAGCGAGUCUGAAUAGGGCGUUUAGUAUUUGGUCGUAGACCCGAAACCAGGUGAUCUACCCUUGGUCAGGUUGAAGUUCAGGUAACACUGAAUGGAGGACCGAACCGACUUACGUUGAAAAGUGAGCGGAUGAACUGAGGGUAGCGGAGAAAUUCCAAUCGAACCUGGAGAUAGCUGGUUCUCUCCGAAAUAGCUUUAGGGCUAGCCUCAAGUGAUGAUUAUUGGAGGUAGAGCACUGUUUGGACGAGGGGCCCCUCUCGGGUUACCGAAUUCAGACAAACUCCGAAUGCCAAUUAAUUUAACUUGGGAGUCAGAACAUGGGUGAUAAGGUCCGUGUUCGAAAGGGAAACAGCCCAGACCACCAGCUAAGGUCCCAAAAUAUAUGUUAAGUGGAAAAGGAUGUGGCGUUGCCCAGACAACUAGGAUGUUGGCUUAGAAGCAGCCAUCAUUUAAAGAGUGCGUAAUAGCUCACUAGUCGAGUGACACUGCGCCGAAAAUGUACCGGGGCUAAACAUAUUACCGAAGCUGUGGAUUGUCCUUUGGACAAUGGUAGGAGAGCGUUCUAAGGGCGUUGAAGCAUGAUCGUAAGGACAUGUGGAGCGCUUAGAAGUGAGAAUGCCGGUGUGAGUAGCGAAAGACGGGUGAGAAUCCCGUCCACCGAUUGACUAAGGUUUCCAGAGGAAGGCUCGUCCGCUCUGGGUUAGUCGGGUCCUAAGCUGAGGCCGACAGGCGUAGGCGAUGGAUAACAGGUUGAUAUUCCUGUACCACCUAUAAUCGUUUUAAUCGAUGGGGGGGACGCAGUAGGAUAGGCGAAGCGUGCGAUUGGAUUGCACGUCUAAGCAGUAAGGCUGAGUAUUAGGCAAAUCCGGUACUCGUUAAGGCUGAGCUGUGAUGGGGAGAAGACAUUGUGUCUUCGAGUCGUUGAUUUCACACUGCCGAGAAAAGCCUCUAGAUAGAAAAUAGGUGCCCGUACCGCAAACCGACACAGGUAGUCAAGAUGAGAAUUCUAAGGUGAGCGAGCGAACUCUCGUUAAGGAACUCGGCAAAAUGACCCCGUAACUUCGGGAGAAGGGGUGCUCUUUAGGGUUAACGCCCAGAAGAGCCGCAGUGAAUAGGCCCAAGCGACUGUUUAUCAAAAACACAGGUCUCUGCUAAACCGUAAGGUGAUGUAUAGGGGCUGACGCCUGCCCGGUGCUGGAAGGUUAAGAGGAGUGGUUAGCUUCUGCGAAGCUACGAAUCGAAGCCCCAGUAAACGGCGGCCGUAACUAUAACGGUCCUAAGGUAGCGAAAUUCCUUGUCGGGUAAGUUCCGACCCGCACGAAAGGCGUAACGAUUUGGGCACUGUCUCAACGAGAGACUCGGUGAAAUCAUAGUACCUGUGAAGAUGCAGGUUACCCGCGACAGGACGGAAAGACCCCGUGGAGCUUUACUGUAGCCUGAUAUUGAAAUUCGGCACAGCUUGUACAGGAUAGGUAGGAGCCUUUGAAACGUGAGCGCUAGCUUACGUGGAGGCGCUGGUGGGAUACUACCCUAGCUGUGUUGGCUUUCUAACCCGCACCACUUAUCGUGGUGGGAGACAGUGUCAGGCGGGCAGUUUGACUGGGGCGGUCGCCUCCUAAAAGGUAACGGAGGCGCUCAAAGGUUCCCUCAGAAUGGUUGGAAAUCAUUCAUAGAGUGUAAAGGCAUAAGGGAGCUUGACUGCGAGACCUACAAGUCGAGCAGGGUCGAAAGACGGACUUAGUGAUCCGGUGGUUCCGCAUGGAAGGGCCAUCGCUCAACGGAUAAAAGCUACCCCGGGGAUAACAGGCUUAUCUCCCCCAAGAGUUCACAUCGACGGGGAGGUUUGGCACCUCGAUGUCGGCUCAUCGCAUC